GGGCACUUGGCACAGGGGUAGCGCGCACGCUUCGCAUGUCCAAUUGUGGCAAGAAUGCGUGAGGUCGUGGGUUCAAAUCCCACAGUGUCCA